GGGAAGGUGGCUCAGUGGUAGAGUGCUUACCUUGCAUGCAUGAGGCCCUGGGUUCAAUUCCUCAGCACCCCA
rnacentral:tRNA from 1 species